AGCUCACUAUGGGGCAGGGGGGCAGCUGAGCGGUACCAUGGGGUCCCUAUAAGUAGAGGGUCCCUAUGGGGCAGGGUUUUCUAUGGGGCUGGCUCCAGCUGAGCUGUGCUAUGGGGUCCCUAUAGUGUAAGGGGAUCCCUAUGGGGCAGGGGGUCCCUAUGGGGCUGGCUCCAGCUGAGCUGUGCUAUAGAGACCCUAUAGAGCAAGGGGGGUCCCUAUGGGGCAGCUGAGCUGUGCUAUAGGGACCCUAUAGAGCAGGGGGGACCUAUAGGGCAGGGGUCCCUAUGGGGUCCCUAUAGGGGGCAGCUGAGCUGUACUAUAGGGACCCUAUAGAGCAGGGGGGACCUAUAGGGCAGGGGGUCCCUAUGGGGCAGCUGAACUCUGAGCUGUGAUAUAGGGACCCUAUAGAGCAGGGGGGACCUAUAGGGCAGGGGUCCCUAUGGGGCAGGGGUCCCUAUAGG